GAGGGGCCAAGGAAGGGCGGUCUGCAGUUUUAUUGAAUAGAGCAGUGUGCAUUAGGCGGUCUGCCUGCCUAGCUGCUUGCUCUCUUGCUGUGUUGCUUAAAGGGACCUCUGCUUCCUUUCUGACGGCGGCGGGCUCGACGAUCUCCUCCUUGGGAAGAAGCUGCUGCCUGAGAGAUAAUCAAUAACAGAUUUCAAGAUCAUCCCAUUCAACCCACGAGAGUUGGUGUUCAAAGACUCAGAAGUAGGCAUCUGACUGCUUCCCCAUCCAGAUACUGUCUGGGCUCCCUAAACUUGCAACCUCACGAUGGAUGAUUUUGAGCGUCGCAGAGAACUCAGGAGGCAAAAGAGGGAGGAGAUGCGGCUGGAAGCAGAGAGAAUCGCCUAUCAGAGGAAUGAUGAUGACGAGGAAGAGGCCGCCAGGGAACGGCGCCGCCGAGCCCGGCAGGAAAGGCUGCGUCAGAAGCAGGAGGAAGAGUCCUUGGGACAGGUGACAGACCAGGUGGAAGCCCAUGCCCAGAACAGUGUCCCUGAUGAAGAGUCUAAGCCAGCCACCACGAACACUCAGGUAGAAGGUGAUGAGGAGGCUGCCUUACUGGAGCGCCUGGCUAGGCGAGAAGAGAGACGUCAAAAACGCCUCCAGGAAGCCCUCGAGCGUCAGAAGGAGUUUGAUCCAACUAUCACAGAUGCCAGUCUCUCCGUCCCAAGCAGAAGAAUGCAAAAUGACAUGGCAGAAAAUGAAACAGCAGAGAAGGAAGAAAAAAGAGAGAGUCGCCCAGGACGAUAUGAGGUGGAGGAAACAGAAGUCGUCACCAAGUCCUACCAGAAGAACAGCUAUCAGGAUGCUGAAGACAAAAAGAAAGAAGAACAGGAGGAGGAGGAAGAGAAGCUGAAGGGAGGGAGCCUUGGCGAAAAUCAGGUAGAGAAGACGGUAGAAGAGAAAACACCAGAACCCCAAGAGGAAGCCGUGGUAAUGGUAUUGGAAAAUGGGCAAGUCAGUGCAGAAGAGUCCAAAAUAGAGGGGGAGGGGGAACAGGACCCAGAGGAGAUAGCCCGUCGGCAAAGGAUGGAGGAGGAAGAAAGAGAGAGAGCCGAGGCAGAGAGGCUGAGGUUGGAAGCGGAAGAAAGAGAAAGAGCCCAGGCUGAGCAGGACAGGAAGCUAGCAGAGGAGAGGGCAAGAGUUGAAGCUGAGCAAAAGGCUGCUGCGGAAGAAAGGGAAAGGAGGGAGGCAGAGGAGCGGGCAAGGGCUGAGGAGCAGCAGAGGGCCAGGGCGGCGGAGGAGGAGAAGGCUAGGAUAGAAGAGCAGAGGCGACAAAAGCAGCUGGAGGAGCAAGAAACCAAGGACAAGGGGGAGAAGGGAGUGGAGAAAGCAGAAAGGAAAGGAGUGAACGAAAGGAAAGCCCAAGAAGACAGACUCCAGACAGCUGUCCUAAAGAAGCAGGAGGAAGAAAAGGGAGCCAAAGGACAAGCUCAAAGACAAAAAUCCCAAGACGACAAGCCUGCCCUCAAAAAGGAAGAGAUCAAAGAUGAGAAGAUUAAAAAGGACAAAGAACCCAAAGAAGAAGUCAAGAGCUUCUUGGAUAGAAAGAAAGGAUUUACUGAAGUGAAGGCGCAGAAUGGAGAAUUCAUGACUCACAAACUUAAACAAACCGAGAAUGCUUUCAGCCCCAGCCGCCCAGGAGGCCGGGCCGGUGGGGACAAGGAAGCUGAAGGUGCCCCACAGGUGGAAGCUGGCAAGCGGCUGGAGGAGCUGCGCAGGCGCCGCGGGGAGACGGAGAGCGAAGAGUUUGAAAAACUCAAACAGAAACAACAGGAGGCGGCCUUGGAGCUGGAAGAGCUGAAGAAAAAGAGGGAGGAGAGAAGGAAGGUCCUGGAGGAAGAGGAGCAGAAAAGGAAGCAGGAGGAAGCUGACCGCAAAGCUAGAGAGGAGGAAGAGAAGAGGAGGCUAAAGGAAGAGAUUGAAAAGAGAAGGGCAGAAGCUGCUGAGAAACGCCAGAAGAUGCCGGAAGAUGGCUUGUCCGAGGACAAGAAGCCGUUCAAGUGUUUCACUCCUAAAGGCUCAUCUCUCAAGAUAGAGGAACGAGCAGAAUUUUUGAAUAAGUCUGUGCAGAAAAGUGGUGUCAAAUCUACUCAUCAAGCAGCAGUAGUCUCCAAGAUUGACAGCAGGCUGGAGCAGUAUACCAAUGCAAUUGAGGGAACAAAAGCUUCAAAACCUGCUAAGCCUGCAGCAUCAGAUCUUCCUGUUCCUGCUGAAGGUGUCCGCAAUAUCAAGAGCAUGUGGGAGAGAGGAAACGUGUUUUCAUCCCCCUCUGCCUCGGGAACACCAAAUAAGGAAACCGCUGGCCUGAAGGUGGGAGUUUCCAGCCGGAUCAAUGAAUGGCUAACUAAAUCACCAGAUGGCAACAAGUCACCUGCUCCAAAGCCUUCUAAUGAUGUCUUUCUCAGCUGGCUUCUCUUCUUCACUCUUUCGUCUCUGGUUGACUGGAAACCUGCCUUUCCUGCCUUCAUUUCUCCCUCUUCUCCCAGAGUGGCUCUUUCUCUAACAUAUAGUCUGGUCAGGACUUGAGGCCAGGGGAUGUAUCUGGCAAGCGAAACCUCUGGGAAAAGCAAUCCGUGGACAAGGUCACUUCCCCCACUAAGGUUUGAAACAAUCGGAGAAAGAACCCAACUGCAAGACGUCUUGCUGGGCCAGCUCAGUUGUAGGGGGCUAAUUGCUCUGUUUAUAUUUAUGUUGAUUUACUAAAUUGGGUUCAUUUUCCUUUUUUUUUAAAUUUUCCAAUAUCCCAGUAAACCCAUGUAUAUGCUCACUAUAUUUAAUAAUCACAACUAGAGAUGUUCAUGGUCAAAGUACUGCUUUUGCAGAGGAGCCUGUUUCUAGAGAAACUCAUGCUGUGAAAUAGACUCGCUACUGUCUACUGUCAUCUGUACAGUGACACCAACCACAUUGGAAGUCAACAGAAGGAAUUCGAGGUUAAGAUUAUCUGAGGAAUGUAUGCAGUAUCUGGGGGUGGGGGGGAAUGAACCGUAGGUUUUGUUUUGUUUCAAUAAAGACAUCAUGUUUCUGCACUUUAAACUAAAGCAUGGAAGAAAUUAUCGAAGAAGGCAAUUGAAAAUAUCUGAAAGUAACCCAUUUCAGAUCUGAUAUGGGGCAAUGAUUGUCUUUUUUAAAAAAAAGAUGUACUGUUGAGAUAUUGCUUUUUUAUGUGCUGAUUCAUAGACCUAAUUGGAUGAUUAUUUUAGCUGACAGUGGUACUGAUUUUUUUUUUCAGGUUGAUUGCUUUGUGGAUUUCUUUGGUAGUGAUAGUAGCCUGAACCACAUUUAAAUAACACAACUAUGUAAUGUAUGUGCAUACAUGUAUACAGACACACUAAUGGUAGACUUCUCUUAAAUGUGCUAGACUAUUAUAUUUAGUAGUAUGUCCUUGUAACUAACCAAUAUCACAGCUUUUGGAGGUUAAAUCACAAUAUUAUAUUAAUAUUUCAUAUUUGCCAGUAGAAACAUGGAAGUUAGAUAUAGCUAUGUUUUCAAUGCCCAAUGACUUAUAAGAAAAAAAGUAUUUGAAAAAGAGAUUAGAAGUGUCAAAAUCAGUUGAAAUUUCUUAUAAGACAUAGUAUUUAGUUUAUAAUUGAGGGCAGUCUUGAAGUCCAGUGUGAAUUUUAUUAUGUCUACCAUCUGGACCAAGCUCAAGGCCUACUUAUUUGUAACAGUGAAGUUCCCCAAAAAGUGACCUACAUGAUAUCUAAGGUUUAUUCUUUCUCUACUUAAAGCCAAGCAUUUUGGUGACAGUAUUGCACAAAUCAGAAUUCAUGUAGCCGCCUAAACAAAGACCAACUUUACCUCGUGUAGAAGCAGACAGGUAAAGUGAGCAAAGGCAUGGCAGGGCUUCUAUCUUUAUGUACUCAGACUUUUUAAAUUAAAAUCUUCUGUCUUUAUUAGUCAGUUGGUACUGUCCUAAGUUGACAAUAGCUUUAAAUUUCAAAACUGUAUGUAAAUUUUAAUAGUGUUACUUUCCCCCUCAGGGGUCUUUAGGAACUCCACCGUUAAGACAUCAUGUCUUCAUUCUUCCUAGUAGAUAAUGAAAAGUACUCCAGCAUCUUACAAAAUGUUCUUAUAUAGGCCAUCCUAUGCAUACAGUCUUUGUACAAACUCAUACCUCAGCUGACUUAACCCAAAUUAUCUUAGUCUCCAUUCCUUCUGCAUUGGGAGAGCCUCCAAAAUAACCAUUUCUAACCCACAUAUUUCCCAUCAAGAGGGAAGGGAUGGCUUGAGGGGAAACUGCUGCCUUGAAAAGUCUAUUUUUCUCAUGAAUUAGUAAGAGUUAGUUGGAUUCCUUAGCUUUUAGCAAACUUGGGCCAAAGGAAGGAAAGCCACUAAGACUACACAAGUCAUCUACCCAUGACAGAGUAGACACAAGUCUAUGAUAAGAUAAACUAGAAUGCACAUGGUGCACCAUGGAAAUGACUUCCAUCAUUGGAGUAAAAUGGAUCAAAGUUCAAUUUAAGGCUGAUGGUGAGAGAACAUGUGUUAGAGCUUUGAACAGAGGUCUUCUGACAGCUAUUAUCUAGGUUUUUUUGGUUUUUGUUGCUUUUAAGAAAGUUCAAAGUUGUGAAAGAAUGUCUUGAUCCUAAAUUUUAUUCCAAUAUUUGGAUGACAUGAGUUUUAGGGUAGAAUUUUGUUCUGUUUGGAUUUCAUCUUUGGGAAAGCAAAUUCCUCAUUUACUUGUUCAAUUACAGCUCUCUGUUAUCUUUAAGAGAGGAAACUGCAUGUUGAAUAGCGUGUUCUGUGAAUCUGCCAUUGUUAAAAACAUUAUAAACACUUGGUAUUUUUCACUGAUGACUGAUCGCUGCAAUAAAAAUAUAUUGUGAAAUGCAUCCACAAUAAAUGGAAUUCUUCCAAAUA